rnacentral:misc_RNA from 1 species
GAUGAAGAACGCAGCGAAAUGCGAUAAGUAAUGUGAAUUGCAGAAUUCAGUGAAUCAUCGAAUCUUUGAACGCACCUUGCACCCUUUGGCUAUUCCGAAGGGUAUGCCUGUUUGAGUAUCAUGAACACCUCAACUCUCAUGGUUUGCCAUGAUGAGCUUGGACUUUGGGGGUCUUGCUGGCCUGUGGUCAGCUCCUCUCAAAUGGAUUAGCUUGCCAGUGCUUGGUGGCAUCACAGGUGUGAUAACUAUCUACGCUUGUGGUUUUCCACCAGGUAACCUUCAGCAAUGGGGGUUCGCUGGGGCUCAUAAAUGUCUCUCCUCAGUGAGGACAGCUCUUUGAACGUUUGAUCUCAAAUCAGGUAGGACUACCCGCUGAACUUAAGCAUAUCAAUAAGCGGAGGA